GAGUCAAUGUAUAGGCAUUAUUUUCCAGUAAAAAAAACCCUCAGAUUUUCACAUGGAUUUAUUCUGUAGGAAGCCAUGUGAUUGACAAUAGUGACAACGAAGUUACUCACAAGUGAAGAAUAUACUUUGUGUAUAUUUUCCUCUUGAUCUGGUUUGACCUAUACAGAGCCUCAGCUUCUGAACAGCGUAAACUCUCCCCAUCUUGCAAACCAGCCAUCCCUUGAUGUUUUCUGCCACAAGCCAUUAGUACUGUUUAUUUUUGUCCUAUAGAUGAUCUGUCCCGUGGAAAAAUGACCGAAGCUGUAAACGAACACAAUGUGAAAUUGGCAGAAGUGAAUUUAUUGUAGGAAGAGGGCUACAAAUUCUCUGGGCUUUUGAUUUGUGCUGCUUAGUAUGUACACAUGCUUUUAUCUUACUAGGGAAGUUCUAUUCAGAUUGGGGCUGUCCUGCCUGUACGGCGACUUCUCCGAUAAAGUUUCUCAACUAGUACGUUUUGUAAUUCUGUUUUCUCCUAAGAAUUCAAUGGACUUGAGUGGAACUGAAACACUGAGGUAAGCAAGGAAAUAUCACAGAGUAAAAUUCAUUGUGCUAUCCUGGAAGGAAAUGUUUCUUCCCUGAGUUGAUUAACACAUAUACCAGCUUGGUAACCCCCUUCUCUACAAAAAAAAACCCUACCUCACAAAGGCUGUGCUUCUUCAUAAGAAAUAACCUAAAAGGCCAGUAUUUAUUUGCAAAGAAAUUAUUGAGAGAAUGGCAAGGGUAGAAAGCUUUGGUUUAGGGCUUACUCUACCAAAUUCAUUAGUACUGAUACACAAGGAGAAGAGUUGUUUAGGCAGGCACUAAAGCACAAAACCCGUAGAAAUUUUGGAUGAAAUUGUUUUGUGAAUCGGUCUAUUUGUUAAUUGCUAGUCUGUUGUAAAAGAAGAAAAAACAGGCAACAUGUGGGAACUUUAGUCAGCAUUUCUGAACUGGGAAUGAUAAACACCUCUGCCUGGCUCUGGCAUUUAUCAGUACUGAGAUAUUAUUACCACAUAGAGUCACAGCAUGGUUACUGUUAUCAUCAAAAAAAAAAAAAAGAGCCAGCUAAUCUUAAUGGUUUGUAAAGCCGUUACCUGCACUGGUCUGACAUUUAUCACGAUCAUUUUACCACACGAGUCCUACAUUGCAAAGGUAUUUUAUCUGGAAGGGACAUCACUAUGAAUUAUUAUUUGCAGCUAGGUAGAAAAUUGUAUGUUGUAGAUACCUUUUCUCAUUAUAAAUCACAGUCACAUUUCACCAUUUCCCACACAAAGCUGCUGAGCCCAGGUUUUUUGCCAUAACACUUAGUCUCGCUCCCUCUUGUAGCUCCAUGAAAAUAUUGGGUACUCUUUCAUUAAAAUGGUUGAUAUUGGUGGGUUUUUUUAAAUGUUAUAUACAGGCUUGAUUUUUCUCUAGUAUAAAAGAAUUUAUUUUUCCACUUGAGAAGCUGAAGAGGAUAAACUGUUCAUUUUUUUUAUUAGAGCUUACUCUCACUUCAUUUUUUUGUGGCUGGGCUUGUCUUUACUCUUGACCUUGUUGAUGGAAUAUUUAACAGAUCAGAUGCAAGAUCUUAUGCUUCACUUGCAAUACCUAUGCAUUCGCUUUCUUUCUGUAAAUCUUUGAGUUCCACUUUCCUAGAAAUUUUCCCCUUUCAGAAUCCUAAGUAGGAAGAUUUUUUAACUUAGGGUUUUUGUUUUUUUUUUUCUUGAGGUUUUUCUCUUUACAAUCCUCAAACAGAGGGAGGAAAUCCUUAAUUGAGGGGUUGUAUAAAUCGUAGUGAAGAAGGUACCCCUGUCUUCAUGCCGUAUUAUGAAGUCUAGCAGUACAGGGUGCAAAGGAAGGAAAACACUCUGAAGAGCUGUUAAAUUCUCCAGCUGAGUCUAGAAAAUGAAGCAGACCAGUUCUGAUAAAAAGAAAUAAUAUUAUUUCUUCUUUUUAUUGUAAAAAUUGGUGAAAACCUGGGGAAAAGUUUCCCACUUGGGAAAGUUGGACUCUUUUCCCUAUGAAGAUUUCUGAAGGAAGAGUUAUAGCAAUCACAUAUAUCAAAUAAAGAAUGAGAGGAUGAUUAAUUCUUUCUGCAUUUUGGGGGCAAAAUACGGAAGAUAUAGGUGGUAAUUGCAGCAGAUCAAGGUGCUCCAAAGUGAAUCACAGAUGAUUUUCCACGUAGUAUUUAGCAUUUGAGUUACAGUCUUUAAAAAUCCUACUGACUGCCUUUAACAGAGCAAAACCGAGGAGAUGUUCUCUUGUUUAUAUUUAAAUGAAGAAUGCAUUGACAAAAAGCCCACUUAAUAUUAUAUAAGCUCUUUUGUAAAUGAGCUUUGGAUAAACAUUUGAGCACAGAAGAAAACAUGAUGUGUCUGUAACAUUAACAGUGGCUGGGUAAAAAUGAGUGAAGAAAGUAACCUUUAACACUCCUGUCCAUAAAGAAUACUUAAGCAAAUCCCAACGAAUCUUUCUUUUAAUCAUUAAUUUUAAGCGGAUGUAGAUGUUUACAACAAACCACUUUGUUUCAGAACAGGAAGUCCCGGGUUUAUCUCCAAUAACUCACGUUUGCUAGGAAGGGAUGUAUGUCUCUAACCUGACGUGUAUUCAUUAUUUUGUAAGGUACUGGAGUCUGACCCAUGACCCCCCUCAGACCUGCUGCAUUAUUCAUGUCUGACUGACUUUCUAUAGUUUUACCAUAGUGCCCGUUUCCCUUUACCAGGCAUUUCAGUGCCUUGUGUGUGUUUAAUGUUAAAUAGCAUUUAUGGCUCACAUUAAUGCCUAAUUUUAUCACGAGCCACGGUUUCUUUUUAUGCUUUCGAGCCUCACAGCUGAACUGCUGAAAAAAACAGUGAUUUAUGAUGCUGCAUAAAAUAUCAAACUAUUGAUCUGCCACCUAAUCUAUGUCUUGUUGUUGGGGUUUUUUUUGUGAGCAUGGUUUUCCCUGAUUUUCUCACAUGGCUCUUCUCACCUUGUUUUGUUUUUUUUGGAUAUGAUUUCUGCUGUGGUUAAAACGUCACACACUGUUGCUACAGCAAAAUCUGUCUGCCAAGAGUUUUUCCAACAAUUCGCGGCUGAUUCAGCUGCCGAGAGAAAGACAGGUCUCGUCUGGGGCUUUUUUUGGUUUGUUUAUUUCAUUUAUUAUUUUUUUUUUUUAUCGGAAUGGAGUGGUUUAGGUGGAUUUUCGAGUGCUAAUGAAAUUGUGAGACUUAUGGCUGUGGCUACAGCCAGCCGUAGUGUGGGCAGACGCUCUGCGAGCUUCCCCACUGUGCUGCUGUGCAAGCAUCCCCGCUGUUAUGUUUGCUAUAGUUUUAAUGUCUGUGAAAAAUUCCUGAUGCAACUAAAUUAUGUUCUGCCCUCUUGUUUGUAUAAAUAAACACCCGACUUAGCCAAUUCAUCUUGCUCUUGCCCAUUUUAGAAGCUUGCCCUGUCACACAAUGCUUAACCCCAGUCCUCGAUAGCUUUGGUGUUAUCAGAGAACGAAAACUUGUUUAAAAGAGUGCUCUGUUAACUUGAUUUUUUUUUUUCAGAGACGCCAACUGCCUGAAACUCCACUUCAUUUUCUGGAAGUCAUGCCGGCUAAUAUACACAUAUUUUUAUCUAUAAAUAGAUGGAUAAAUCAUUUCUAUCACUUUUGGUGUCAGGUUAUUUUAAUGUUUCUGUAUGCAACAUAAAAGUCCCAAUUUUAAUCACUUGCAGUACACUACGGCUAUCGUCUCAUGCAGAUAGAUUGUAAAAUAUUUUCUUGUUUUAAAAAAAAAAAAUCUAUAAGAAGCAUUCAAACUAACUAAUGUUUGCUAUAAGGAAAAUAACCAAUUUGUGAUCUGAAUUGAUUUUACUUUUUAUUCAUGCCUCAGAAACAAACGUUGCAGAAGAAAAUGAGAAUUGCGUGAAACCUCUCUAUAUGGGCAAUUGAUAAAUUCAUCGUAUGUGAUAUAAAGUGGAGUUUGCAAUGAAUAUUCAUACAACUUUUGCAAGCCAUUAGCAAGACCCAAGACAAUGAGUUUGCAACUCAGUCCCAUUUAACAAAAAUGUAUGUGGAAUUAAUGGGAAAAAACCAGCACUUAAAAAAGUUAAACUUUAAUGUAUCAAACUCCAGGUGCCAGAGUUUGAGGGAAAUAACCAAUAAUAGUCAUUUUUUACAUAUUUGAUGGGACUGAUUAUGCAAUGUGCAACUCUAAAUGGCUUAUAGCACAUUGUAGCAUGGUUCCAUCCCAUUGGCUACAGUAGGGUGCAGGCAGAUGGAUGACAGUGACAAGGAGAGAAGUGCUUUUGCUUAGCCGUGCGUUAAGAUGCCAUCCAGAAGCUCUGUGCACUGCAGACACUUCAUUAGGAUGCCAGGAUAAUGGUAAACUACCACUCAGAGUGACACCCCAUUUCCUGCUUACUGAGCUCUCCAACCUCGGCAGAUGUCAACAAUCUCACAGUGCUACAGAGCAGACCUAACUUUCCAGGCACUUUGACUCCAAUUUUUUUCCCUUAACAGUGCCAUACAUUACAUGCAAUAUGUAACAGCAAGUACCAAACAGAAAACAAAAUUUGCUGCCCUAAUUAGAACAAAGCAGCAUCUGACUUAGGUACUGCAUGCCCAGCGUACGUACAACCGGUUAGGUGGCAUAAAAGAGGAAUGAUCUUUGUCAGUCAGUUUUGGGGGUUAAUUAGACUUAGGACUUUGAUAGUUAAUGGAUAGUCUGAUCCCGACUGAAAUGACUGUGCUUCAUCGCUAACUUCUACCAAGCCUCAGAGAAAUAUGCUGAGCUCUUUCCUGGUAUUUCAUACACUAUUACAGCCUUGCGUGGGGUUUUCUGCACAGAAAGAGCAGACUUGAGCAUCUGGACGGUGUGAUAUUUUCUCUGCAAAUGCACAACUCGAGGCCGUAACGCACCUCCCCAACAGCAGUUAAAGCCAGCAGAGAGACUGCGCUACGAUACUUGACCUGCACUCCUUCCCAGAGAAACACAAAUAGUUGCUCACACUUUCAAAGAUUGUCUCCAGAUACAGAAACAGUAUCCGCGAGGUCACGAUUUCUAAUUCAAUUCAAUUUUUUUAACCUAUCGGUGAGUUAUUAUAUAUAUUUUUUUGAUAUCAAGAAUUCUGUUUAUUCUAUGUAGAGGAUUUUUCCCCACUCUUUUUUUUGGCUGAAGAGGUGAUUUAGCAGUAGUGCUCUGCCCUACCACAGCGAUGACCCUUCACUACUUAAUUUUUUUGUUCAAAGUGAUGGAAGCAUGACAAGACAUUACUGCCAGCUCCAGAAAUGCCCACUCUUCUCUCUUUCACAGCCUCCUCUUGCCCCCACCGUCCAUGCCAAGGGUGGUUUUGGUUGGCAUCCCUCUGGUCCUCACCCAUGUUGUUCAAAUUGACACGUUGGCUGAGGAUCUGGGGACGGGCAGUUAUUUGGGGCAGAGAAAAACAUGGCAGGUUAGAAGGAUGCGCAGGGCUGAGGUGGCAAAGCAUUUCUCAGAUAUCACCCUAUGUGAAUAUUAGGAUGCUGAAUAGAAACCAUUGCAGAACAACUGUAAAUUUGGGGCUGUAUCCUGUCACAUUUAUUUAGCUGUUGUCUGAUUUCCCCAGGAUAAUUCCCACCAGAGGUCUGAGAUGCACUCUGGUUUCGCUCAGUGGGAAUGGCACCCUUGGCAUUGCGGUCGAGAGGUGGGAUCGGCCCCUUGUUGGCACCCCAGGAGAGAUUCCAGGAAGGGUGAAAACUGGAGGGAUCUUUUAGAUGGUUCCUAAGAGCAUCCUUAUGGGAGCUGUGGCGGGAUGCAGUCACUUAGAUUCUGGCAGCUGAUCACAUCAGAGACUCAUGCUGUUGUAUCCAUGCUAUCCUCCAACCACACCAAGACAUGAGGAGCUUCUGGGACAUUUCAUGCGCCGUCUCAGGUGCUAUAAGACAUAUUAAAUGUCACUAGAUGCAUUGUAUUUUAGUAAAUAUAUUCUCCUGAUGCAGCUGAGCGUUCAUUUAUCUACUUAGAGAUUGUGUCUGCAAUCUUGCAAUCCAGCUUUUGCUCUCAGAGGCUGCUGCAUGGUACCCUACAUCUAAUUAUUGCACAGCCAGCAGAAGCAAUAAAAAAGGAUUUAGUCAGGUUUACUGGGGUCUCAGCGAUUAAGCUACAAAUAUACACAACGUCUUUUGCAAAUUAAAGUGAGGCACACUUCUUCCUAGAUGACAUUUCCACCAAGCAUUCUGUGACUCCUUUAGCUCCCCAUAAACACUAAUACUCUGAGCACCUGGAUCCCAUGGCAGACAACUUCUGUGCAAGCUCCUCAAAAGUUACAUUAUUCAGUGCAAAAUUUGCUAUGACCUAUUGAAGGCUGAAGCAUGAUCAUUAACCAGAUAGAUGUGACAAGUUGUGACAUCUUCUGCAAGAUGUUGUCUCAAGCCACACAGGCAGUGGAUUCUUGGGGGACCUUUCUGAAGCAGGAUUAGAUACCAAGCUCGGAGAAAACCUUUCACUUGAUAUCAGCUGUCCUGGAGUUGAAGACAACUGACCAACAUGGAGAGGACUGACAACUACUGAUAGCACUGCUAGGUUUUGUGGGUUUAAAAAACAUCUGCCAUUCUCAUGAAAGAAGAGUUUAUUGCUUUGCUAUGUUAUCAUUGUAGAUUUUGUCAGACAAGACCAGUAAAGGCGAAUAUCUCACUUCAGCAAAACUCUAAUAAUAUAUUUUUUUAUCUACCUAAAAAGUUAUAAAACUCUUUCAUGUGUCAGGUGCUAAAUAACCAUCUACAGUUUCUAUAUCAUAGGGUAACACAAUAUUAUGGAAUUGAUAGGAAAGAUUGUGAAUCCUGCUUAGCAUACACCAGAAGACCAAUAUGUAUCAAAAGAGUUGAAAAAAGUGUUAAUGGUCUACCAGAGCAAUAAUAAAAGAAAAAAAAAAUCCAGAUCUUGAAUAAAUAAAAAGUAUAUGAGCAUCCAAUGUAGAUUUUAGGUAGUGCCUAGUUCCUUAAAUUCACCAUUAUAAUUCUGAAGAAUCCUUAUUCAGCUGCCAUCUACCCCUUAAGGUGCAUAAGCUAAUUAGAUGCUGUGAUUGCGGCCUUCGAAGGGCUUUAGGUGCCUACGGCUCUACUUCUUCCCCAUGCAGAGAAAUCCUUCCUUUCUGCCAGGGCUGAAAAGCUGGAGCUCCACAGAUGGAGGAUUACUUUGCCUAAGUGUCUGGGGAGCUUUGAUCCUGUGGGGUUUGCCAGGA